ACCAAUUGCUGAGUCCCAAAUAGGACGAAACUCGCGUCCUGGAU
rnacentral:hammerhead_ribozyme from 1 species